GAAGCUUUGUUUAUCAUUGAUGUUAUGUGUGAUCAACAAAAACUUAUGCUUCUCAUUCAAUAUUUGUCGAACUAUGUUGAUGUGUGAUUAUGCACUUGUUGGGCCCUUUUGCUGUACACCUGCACUUGUAGAACUAUUUUGUUGUGUACUUAUUGGGCCUUGAACCUUUACGUGUAGAGGAGUCGAUGGAUGAUGUAUUGUAAUUCAUAUGAUGUGCUACUGAAAUGAAAUAUAUACAACUAAUUUG
rnacentral:lncRNA from 1 species